AGUGAACGCUGGCGGUAGGCCUAACACAUGCAAGUCGAACGGCAGCACAGUAAGAGCUUGCUCUUACGGGUGGCGAGUGGCGGACGGGUGAGGAAUACAUCGGAAUCUACUUUUUCGUGGGGGAUAACGUAGGGAAACUUAUGCUAAUACCGCAUACGACCUACGGGUGAAAGCAGGGGAUCUUCGGACCUUGCGCGAUUGAAUGAGCCGAUGUCGGAUUAGCUAGUUGGCAGGGUAAAGGCCCACCAAGGCGACGAUCCGUAGCUGGUCUGAGAGGAUGAUCAGCCACACUGGAACUGAGACACGGUCCAGACUCCUACGGGAGGCAGCAGUGGGGAAUAUUGGACAAUGGGCGCAAGCCUGAUCCAGCCAUACCGCGUGGGUGAAGAAGGCCUUCGGGUUGUAAAGCCCUUUUGUUGGGAAAGAAAAGCAGCAGGUUAAUACCCCGCUGUUCUGACAGUACCCAAAGAAUAAGCACCGGCUAACUUCGUG
rnacentral:rRNA from 1 species